AGACACCAUAAUUUAAGGUUAAUUGGGCGAAUUAGGCCACAACUUUAUUGAGUUCAGGAAUGAGAGGCAUUGGCUUAGGCAUUGGUCCUAUCGACUAUCCGGCUCCAGCCCAUUUGCUGGAGACACGGGGAAGGGUUAACACUAUAUCGGGGAGUCUCCUGCCGAGGCACAUCAACUAGGAGCUCCCCGGGUCACCGCUCUGGGGCGUGCCUUUGGCCCACACCUCCAUAGGCUUCGGACAGGGCCACGCCCCACGGAGUCCUUUAACGGACCACCCUUCGUUCACUGGGGGGAGGUGAUGGCGCUCCCCCCCACAUCCUCUUAACCCCUUCUUACCAAUGCCUACCGCCUUACCAAUGCCUACCGCCAAUGCCGAAGAGUUGUGACGAGUUGCUACGAGGUAGGCGAAAAAACCAAAAGGCUGUAAAUUGCCAAUAGGGAAAAAUUCCUACCAUGCCCCUUGCGGCGACAGACCGAAGUCCAUAGCAAAGUCAGAAACCUGCCUAAAACCUACCUAGAGGGAGGGAGGGUGGGAAAAAACGUGAGGGCUAGCCGGCAGAGAGAGGGUGAGCCCCCUCCGUGCCAGCCCUAAAUAGCCCAGGCCACGCCCCCCCAGCCAGCCGAUUGGCUGGCUGGGGGGGCACACCCAGCCGGGAUUCCCCUGUUCUUGUGGGGGCUGAAACCAGCCCCCGCUCACGUGGGGUGGGCGUGAAGCCCGCAACCCCACCUCCUGGGCAAGCCGGAAGUGGCUUUGCGUGGCGAGUUCCCGCCCCCGCCAGGAUAAAUAAAGACACCAGACACCAUAAUUUAAGGUUAAUUGGGCGAAUUAGGCCACAACUUUAUUGAGUUCAGGAAUGAGAGGCAUUGGCUUAGGCAUUGGUCCUAUCGACUAUCCGGCUCCAGCCCAUUUGCUGGAGACACGGGGAAGGGUUAACACUAUAUCGGGAGUCUCCUGCCGAGGCACGUCGACUAGGAGCUCCCCCGGGUCACCGCUCUGGGGCGUGCCUUUGGCCCACACCUCCAUAGGCUUCGGACAGGGCCACGCCCCCCGGAGUCCUUUAACGGACCACCCUUCGUUCACUGGGGGGAGGUGAUGGCGCUCCUCCCCCCC